rnacentral:tRNA from 1 species
GGGGGUGUGGCUCAGCUGGCAGAGUGCUUGCCUGACAAAGCCCUGGGUUCAGUUCCCAGCACUUCUU